rnacentral:rRNA from 1 species
CGCCUUGCCAGCCCGCUCAGAACUUAAAUGAAUUGAGGGGCCCGGCACAAGCGGCGGAGCAUGUGGAUUAAUUCGAUGCAACGCGAAGAACCUUACCUGGGUUUGACAUACACCGGAAAACCGUAGAGAUACGGUCCCCCUUGUGGUCGGUGUACAGGUGGUGCAUGGCUGUCGUCAGCUCGUGUCGUGAGAUGUUGGGUUAAGUCCCGCAACGAGCGCAACCCUUGUCUUAUGUUGCCAGCACGUGAUGGUGGGGACUCGUAAGAGACUGCCGGGGUCAACUCGGAGGAAGGUGGGGACGACGUCAAGUCAUCAUGCCCCUUAUGUCCAGGGCUUCACACAUGCUACAAUGGCCAGUACAGAGGGCUGCGAGACCGUGAGGUGGAGCGAAUCCCUUAAAGCUGGUCUCAGUUCGGAUCGGGGUCUGCAACUCGACCCCGUGAAGUCGGAGUCGCUAGUAAUCGCAGAUCAGCAACGCUGCGGUGAAUACGUUCCCGGGCCUU